AUGCUGACAGUGCUCUUAGCAGCCGCGGCCACAACACGACCUCAGUGACAGCAGCCACGGCGGGCCAGGAUCUGUGCUAAGGGUUUUCCAUGCCUCCGUUGCACGUACCCUAACAACCACCCAAGGAGGGGGUGUUGUCUUUGUAUCCCAGAACGGUUAAGCAGCUUACUUGGGAUCACACAAUCCACAGACUUCCCUUGUUGAGGUGAGGCAGCGCCUUCGACGUCUCUGACUCCUAGGCCAGGUGUGUGUCUAGCUCCGUGAUGGAAGGUGCCAGCUUCCCUUGUAAGUGACCAGCAUGGGCUCUGCUUCACCCUUCCGGGCUCCCAGCUUACCCAGACCUUAGCAGUCUGCUGACUCCAGCUUUCAGCAGAGCAGAAACAACGCCUUGGGAAGACUUAAAACAACUUUGAAUAAGAACCUGCUUGAGAAAGAUUUGCCUUACAAGCUAAAUGUUACAUUUCCACUCAACAGAAAGGUACUGCUGUGUGGCCGUAAAAAGCUGGCCAAAACCCUGUAACCUUUGCAGUUAGUCAUGUUAUUUUUGGUUCAUGCCAACAUGGAUCACAGCUGUGACUCAACAGAGCCACUGAAGCAAGAAUUCAAAGAGUUUAAAGAACAGCAAACUCAGAAAUGACUUUUUUUUUCUUAUGGUGUCAUUACGCAACAUUUCUUGUCGUUUACCUUUUCUAAUUUACCAACUCCAUACAGAUGAGCUCAGUCGUUGUUUGGCAAUUGAAAAUCUGAGUUGCGUCAGCACACUUCCCCAAAUCCCACUGCAGGCGGAGGAUGAUGAAGCUUUCCUUUCUGGGGUGUUUGUUUUACGUAAGUAGUGACUUACUUUUCAGAGGUAAAAAAAAAAAAAAAAUCUGUGUUGAUAUAUGUCUCCCUCAAACCAAAAAUAGGACUGGGGAUUGAUUUAAACGUUUGCAGUUCCCCAUUUGAAGAUGACAGAAAGCCCAUAUCGACUGGUUCUGCCUUUGUUUUUGUUUUUCACUAAUUUAUAUUCACAAAAUGAAGCCAUAAGCUUAGACCUCACCGAAUGGAAAACAGGCAUGGACUUCAGCAGGCAAUAUAUUAGCAUAUUUAUCAACAUCCUUUAGAUUUUUGCUUUCAUUUUUUAAAUUACCAUGUAAACUUGAAGAUAACCCCAGUUUUCCCAUUUGUGGGAACAUAAGAAAGGGAGAUGAAAAAAAAUAAUAUUUGUCCCUUAUCUAUGAAGUGCUUUUAUUUUUUAAAUUUUUUUUAUUACCUGAAGAACUACAUUAUCGUCAAUAUGAAGUGCUGUUUUUUUAAGCAUUAUGAUUAGACUUAAGGAUUCUAAGGACUAAAGUAUUAAGGUGUUUUUUGUUGUUAUUUGCUAAUCAUUAAUCAACUGUUUUACCUGAUUAAUUUUCUCUUUGGGAAAAUAGAUUGAGAUUGUGAUCUGGGAGACCAAAGUAGACAUUACUUUAUCAAUGAAGAAGGACCUUAAGGUUAACGAAACAAAAAGUUGGCCAGGUGAGGUGGCUCACGCCUGUAAUCCCAGCACUUUGGGAGGCAGAGGUGGGUGGAUCACGAGGUCAGGAGUUCAACACAAUCCUGGCCAACAUGGUGAAACCCCGUCUCUACUAAAAAUACAAAAUUAGCUGGGUACGGAGGCACACACCUGCAGUCCCAGCUACUCAGGAGGCUGAGGCAGGAGAAUUGCUUGUACCUAGGAGGCGGAGGUUGCAGUGAGCUGAGAUCAUGCCAGUGCACUCCAGCCUGUGUGAUGGAGCAAGACUCCGUCUCAAAAAAAAAAAAAAAGAAAAAAAAAUUUUACCUAUGGAUUGAGAGCUUAGGGCCCAGCUGGCCUUGCGAAUUUCUAAAUUCCUGUAAGAAAAUCCACACUCUUGCUAAACUCCCUAACAAUAGGAGCUAUUGGGCAAAUUAUCCUAACUCCAAUUUGCAAUCCAGACCACUACUAUUCUGAUUGGACAGAGGACAGGCCUUACAAACAUUCUUUUCUGAUGAGCAAUUGCAGACCUUAAGCCAGUUUCAGCCAGCUUAUAGAGGCUGCACACACACUGUCUUUGUGUCCUAUAGUUCACCUUUUGCCCCAAAGUGAAUAUGGGAUGUAUAUUACAUGUUUGUUUAUUCAUUGCUCCUGUGCUUGGCUCUCCUCAUAAAUAUGUAUAGCUUCUACCCCAAACCUGCUGAAUACGUAUGACUCUAUUGUGUAAUACAGACUCUCAGAGGAAUGAGACCCAACCUGUCCUUCCCCUGUUUGAAGAGAGAGCAUCUUUGGUCCAUGCUGGAGACUUUCUCUUCCAGCUUGCAACUGAUAUCACCAAUAAAGCUCUUCUUUCUACUA